rnacentral:lncRNA from 1 species
CUUCAUUGCUGGUUUAUGACAAAUGGUUCGAAAGCACUACAUGCAGUAUGUCUGAAGCUGAUUCAGUAAGGACAUGAAAAGCUGCAGACUCAUUGCUCUACUCUUUCUGGACCCGUGGUGCACUUUUACUGAAGUCAGAGGAUUUCUGCUUUGAUCCAAGACAAAAUUGCUGGACUGAAGAGCAUAACUUGUCAGUGGUUUCCCGUGAGGAGCUGAGACUGUCAACAUGAAGGCAUUCUGAGGGAGAACUUUCAUCCAUAGUAACAAAUCCUGUUCUGUCUCCCAGUGGAUGUUGG